rnacentral:lncRNA from 1 species
CCCGACUGCGCAGGCGUGCUCACCUGGCGUGCUCCACCCGGCUGGGCGUCCUCAGGCUCCUCCCCUGGGCGUGGCCUCCGGGCGGCCCGGCUGCUUCUCAGGUGAUAUUGGUUCCAGCUGGUGGGGUCUAGUUGACGCUUCCGCAGCCACCAGGACCAACGGAAAGCCGAUCGGGGGAACCGCGGCGGGGCUGGUGUCAGGAGCCUGAGGUGAACUUGAGGGUGCCUCCUCAGCGGUCUCCCCCCCUGCCCUGAGGGGCGCCGGGACCCCAAAGAGCGGAGGAAGAGCGCCACCCCGACUGCCACCGCUUCGGGGCCAGCACGCGGGGUACCCUACAGGGAGCGCGGAUGCCCCUGUGUUCGGGCGGGGACGGCUCCACCCCUCCUGGGCCGUCCCUUCGGGACGGGGACUGUCCCUCCCAGAGAGAGUGCUGACUACCCGCGCGACCGUCUGGAUCCCCGGCCCGGUAGGGGAAGAGAAGAGUGUGGUACAGCAUGGAUAUCCUAAUUCCUGUGUGUGGUGAGCACUGGCGGCCUCCGCUUCUUAGCGGAGGUUUGUCCUCUCCAACUGUUCAGAGACCUGCGGCGGGGAAGCGCUCUGGGAACCGGGGACUGAAUCUAUGCAGGAUUCACUUCUCUUGCUCAGUAGUUUACGAAGAGCUCUUAAUAAAAUUUAAGAGGGAAUAGAAGGCCACUCAUCCGGGAAGACUUCACUCCAGAAAUCACUCCUGCCUGGCCCUCUAGCCCAGUCCAAGAGCACCUGGCCAGCCGGAGAAGCACUGCUGGACUGGGGGAAUUUGGCCGUACGGCGUCCACAGAGAAGCCCAGCUCCUUACUGGGACCCUGGUCCACUUCCCAAGUUGACCUUCCUGCAAGAAGAGAACAUACCACGUAUUUUAACACAUUUGACAGUCACAGGGGAAGUCUAAGGAAGCCAGGGCCUGCCUGCUUGGGGCCUGUCCAAGCUCGUCCUCUGCCGCCCUAUCUCCGUCAUGUUUGCUUUGGAAGUCCAGAAGAUUGUGUUUAUGUUCCCAGCAGGGCACCUGUUCACUGGUACCAAGAAAAGGCCCAAGUGUUUCCCUGGCAUCAGGUGGUGUCUGGAUCCACCACUCCACACUGUCUCUGGAAACAGCCCUUCCACGUCUCUGCAUUCCCUGUUACUGUGUUGCUGGCCUUCGGACGGAGCCAAGGUGCACGGCAACCCCUCUACGAGGUCUGUAGCCAUUUAUAUUGCUUAGGCUACUGGUAAGUGGACUAAGGUUUAAAAUUACUAUCUUAAACAUUUCUAGCUAAUGUUAACCAGCCAUCCAACCAACCGGUGGUGGGAGUCACAGAAUGCUAAAACAAUGUCACUCUCUUUACUGUUUAUUCCCUGCCUACCCAUCCACUGAACUGACAUCUACGGAGAGCCCACUACAGGCCCAGGCAAUGUCCAAGAGAGUCCCACAUCCCUGCCUGGACUGCAUGUGACAAUCAUCAUCAUACAGGGCUAUAGUGCAUAUAUGACAAAGUGCUGUGGGAGAAAAGAGAAAGACAAUCCAACCCUUUGGGCUCCCAGAAGAGGUGGCUUGCGAGCUGCACCUUGAGCACCCACUUACGGAGGACUGCAUAAGCAAAAGUGGGGAGGAAUGUGGGCGGGAGGGACGUGCAGAAGUGGGCAGUGGGGUUUGGAGUGACUGAACCCUAGGAGGGUGAUGGUGGCAAGAGAUGAGGGGGGAGUGUUGGAGGGGCCUGGGCAGGCUGUGCUGAGGAGUUUGGACUUGACCCUAAGGCACAGAGAACCACGGAAGGGGCUGAGCAUUAGAGGAACAGAGUCACACUCAGUCCCUUAGAACGUCGCUCUGGCCUCUGGUUAGACAUAGUGGGUGGAACAUUUGCAUUCAUCUCUGUUCCUUCUGGAGCCCUGCUAAUACGGCAGUGAUCAUUAUAUAUGUGUGUAUCUCAUGCAGCCACAGGACAAAAGAAUGAAAGAGGAGAAAGCAGCAGGAGAGAAGUGAACCAAAUUUUGAAUGCUGGGAGCAGAUGGACAGGUGGUGACUGACCUUCCCUCAAGCAUCUCUGGA